GACGAACGCUGGCGGCGUGCUUAACACAUGCAAGUCGAACGAUGAAGCUGGAGCUUGCUCCGGUGGAUUAGUGGCGAACGGGUGAGUAACACGUGAGCAAUCUGCCCUUGGCUCUGGGAUAACUGCGGGAAACUGUAGCUAAUACCGGAUACUUUCACUGGAAGGCAUCUUCUGGUGAAGAAAGAAUUUCGGUCAAGGAUGAGCUCGCGGCCUAUCAGCUUGUUGGUGAGGUAACGGCUCACCAAGGCGACGACGGGUAGCCGGCCUGAGAGGGUGACCGGCCACACUGGGACUGAGACACGGCCCAGACGCCUACGGGAGGCAGCAGUGGGGAAUAUUGCACAAUGGGCGCAAGCCUGAUGCAGCAACGCCGCGUGAGGGAUGAAGGCCUUCGGGUUGUAAACCUCUUUUAGCAGGGAAGAAGCGAAAGUGACGGUACCUGCAGAAAAAGCACCGGCUAACUACGUGCCAGCCGCCGCGGUAA
rnacentral:rRNA from 1 species